rnacentral:lncRNA from 1 species
CCAGGGGUGCUGGUGCCGGAGGCGCUGGGGCUGGGCAACUGGGUGAAGGCGCAGGAGUGGGCGGCGCUCCCAGACGGGCAGGCGACGUACCUGGGCAACCCGGUGCCGUGGGGCAACCUGCCGACCAUCCUGGCGAUCGAGUUCCUGGCCAUCGCCUUCGCGGAGCAGCAGCGCACCAUGGAGAAGGACCCGGAGAAGAAGAAGUACCCCGGCGGCGCCUUCGACCCGCUCGGCUUCUCCAAGGACCCCGCCAAGUUCGAGGAGCUCAAGCUCAAGGAGAUCAAGAACGGUACGUCCCAGUCCCAUCACAUAUACCCCGUUAUCGAAUGAAGAAUCAUACGUAGAUAGAACAAGCUGACGCGUUCGUCCGUGGGGAAUGCAUUGCAGGGCGGCUGGCGAUGCUGGCGUUCGUGGGGUUCUGCGUGCAGCAGUCGGCGUACCCCGGCACCGGCCCGCUGGAGAACCUGGCCACGCACCUCGCGGACCCGUGGCACAACAACAUCGGCGACAUCGUCAUCCCCAGAAAUAUCUACGGCCCUUGAGCGGAGCCGACCGGGCUGAGAGGAGAUCGAGGAGCCGGAGCGCAUGGUUUUCAUUCAUGUUUCUGAGUCGAUCCAUUGGUUGAUCACCUUGCCACGCUGGCUCUGCGCGCGCACCGUCCGUGCGUGCUGGAACUGUACAACAACGUCGGCUCUCCGGCCGGCAACCUUUGUAAUGUGUAAAGCUUAAGUAGCGGCCGCUGUUGCGAAUGCAUCCGUGUGAUCUGUAUAAAUUCUUU